rnacentral:rRNA from 1 species
UACGUAGGGGGCUAGCGUUAUCCGGAAUUACUUGGCGUAAAGGGUGCGUAGGUGGUUUUUCAAGUCAGGAGUGAAAGGCUACGGCUCAACCGUAGUAAGCUCUUGAAACUGUAAAACUUGAGUGCAGGAGAGGAGAGUGGAAUUCCUAGUGUAGCGGUGAAAUGCGUAGAUAUUAGGAGGAACACCAGUUGCGAAGGCGGCUCUCUGGACUGUAACUGACACUGAGGCACGAAAGCGUGUGGAGCAAAUAGG